GCUGACACUUAAGUAAGCAAGGUUACUGUAAACAUUUCCGACCAGACCGACUAUGUUGUUAUUCGUAGUAAUUGCGUGUUUGGUUGGCUGUAAUACAGGAAGGACAUUCACGAACUACCCAAACGAUUGGAUAGCCCACGAUGGGUCGUGCUACCUGUUUGGUCACGAGGACAACUAACUUGAUUUCACAACCGCCGAGCAAUUCUGUCGCCAGCGCGGAGGUCAUCUGAUUCACGUGGAUGACGCGCAAGAAAACGCCUUCAUAAAGGACCAGCUGAAUGAACGCAAACCUAUUCAUUGGUGGCUGGGCAUUACUGACGGGGAUGCGAAAUGGGUCUGGAGAUGGUUUGACGAUGACACUGUGGCUGAAUAUACAGACUUUGAGUCGAAUGACCAUUUCCACCCAGGUGAAGACUGUGGGUUGUUUGCAUCAAUCUAUGAGUUCAGAUGGGCUGACAUUGAAUGUACAGCUCACUACCCCCCUCUUUGCGAACUAAGUGCACGCAACACUGAGGUCGAGACUGUUGGCUAAUAUCGAUGAGAUGACAUCUUGACACUUUCUUACUUCUUUUGUGUACAAGGACGAAUAUGUGUAAUUAAUGUACCAAUGAAUAUUAAUAUUAGACAUGACGUACUUGGUAAGAUAAAAGGCUUCAGCUUAGUUGGAUAUUUUUUAAUAUAAAAAAGAAUAGCGACAUAAAGUCAAAGGCGUUUGAUAAUAAUAAGGUGGGCCUAACUGAAAGACACACUUGAUAAUAAAGACAGGUGAUUCCAUGCAGGAUCUAAUGAUGCAAUACAUACUAGGACGCCAAUAGAUGGGUUCCCAGGUAUGAUUGCCAAUCGUGUAUCGUGUAUUGUCCCACACAUGUUGAAGCGCGUAGACACUUUAUACACACAUCAGAUGAGAUUUGGUGAAGAAAAUCAUGUAAACUAUACGCACAUGUUGAAAUCUAUUAAAACAACAGUCAUAUCGGACAUGCUCAUAUUGAGGCAUUACCACUGGCUGUUCUUAGGUGGUAAUCCAGCUUUUAUCAUUUAAUGUAUAUUGGUGUGUUUUGUUUAUAGUCAUGUAUUAAUAUAUAUGCAAAAUUGAGAAAAAUGCCUGAACAGUAUUAUAGAGUUUCACUGUGUAUUCAAUAUGUAUUUAUUUCAAAAUUUAAACCUGUCAUGAACUUAGAUUAAAAUCGUCUAAUUUCAUACAUUGUACCCACCCCCAGCGUUCUCUAGGGAUGUGAAUAAACUAUGAACGAGGUAGCCGUAGUGUA